AGAGUUUGAUCAUGGCUCAGGAUGAACGCUGACGGCGUGCCUAACACAUGCAAGUCGAGCGAUCUUCUUCGGAAGAGAGCGGCGGACGGGUGAGUAACGCGUGGGUAACCUGCCUCAUACACAUGGAUAACAUACCGAAAGGUAUGCUAAUACAAGAUGAUAUAAGAGAUUCGCAUGGAUUUCUUAUCAAAGCUCCGGCGGUAUGAGAUGGACCCGCGUCUGAUUAGCUAGUUGGUAAGGUAACGGCUUACCGAGGCGACGAUCAGUAGCCGACCUGAGAGGGUGAUCGGCCACAUUGGAACUGAGACACGGUCCAAACUCCUACGGGAGGCAGCAGUGGGGAAUAUUGCACAAUGGGCGAAAGCCUGAUGCAGCAACGCCGCGUGAGCGAUGAAGGCCUUCGGGUCGUAAAGUUCUGUCCUCAAGGAAGAUAAUGACGGUACUUGAGGAGGAAGCCCCGGCUAACUACGUGCCAGCAGCCGCGGUAAUACGUAGGGGGCUAGCGUUAUCCGGAUUUACUGGGCGUAAAGGGUGCGUAGGUGGUUUCUUAAGUCAGGAGUGAAAGGCUACGGCUCAACCGUAGUAAGCUCUUGAAACUGGGAAACUUGAGUGCAGGAGAGGAAAGUGGAAUUCCUAGUGUAGCGGUGAAAUGCGUAGAUAUUAGGAGGAACACCAGUAGCGAAGGCGGCUUUCUGGACUGUAACUGACACUGAGGCACGAAAGCGUGGGGAGCAAACAGGAUUAGAUACCCUGGUAGUCCACGCCGUAAACGAUGAGUACUAGGUGUCGGGGGUUACCCCCCUCGGUGCCGCAGCUAACGCAUUAAGUACUCCGCCUGGGGAGUACGCUCGCAAGAGUGAAACUCAAAGGAAUUGACGG
rnacentral:rRNA from 1 species